rnacentral:rRNA from 1 species
UACGAAGGGGGCUAGCGUUGCUCGGAAUUACUGGGCGUAAAGAGUGUGUAGGCGGUGCUCUAAGUUUGGUGUGAAAUCUCCCGGCUCAACUGGGAGGGUGCGCCGAAAACUGGAAUGCUUGAACAUGGGAGAGGAAAGCGGAAUUCCUGGUGUAGCGGUGAAAUGCGUAGAUAUCAGGAGGAACACCUGCGGUGUAGACGGCUUUCUGGACCAUUGUUGACGCUGAGACACGAAAGCGUGGGUAGCAAACAGG